UACAUAGGGCGCAAACGUUAUCCGGAAUUAUUGGGCGUAAAGGAUGCGUAGAUGGUUCAGUAAGUUACUGGUGGGAAAUCGAGGCCCAACCUCGUGGAAGUUAGUAAUACUGUUGAACUUGAGUGCAGGAGAGGUUAACGGAACUUCAUGUGGAGCGGUAAAAUGCGUAGAUAUAUGAAAGAACAUCAAUAUGGCGAAGGCAGUUAACUAUUCUGCUACUGACAUUGAGGCAUGAAAGCGUGGGGAGCAAAACGG
rnacentral:rRNA from 1 species